rnacentral:rRNA from 1 species
GACGAACGCUGGCGGCGUGCUUAACACAUGCAAGUCGAACGGAAAGGCCCUGCUUUUGUGGGGUGCUCGAGUGGCGAACGGGUGAGUAACACGUGAGUAACCUGCCCUUGACUUUGGGAUAACUUCAGGAAACUGGGGCUAAUACCGGAUAGGAGCUCCUGCUGCAUGGUGGGGGUUGGAAAGUUUCGGCGGUUGGGGAUGGACUCGCGGCUUAUCAGCUUGUUGGUGGGGUAGUGGCUUACCAAGGCUUUGACGGGUAGCCGGCCUGAGAGGGUGACCGGCCACAUUGGGUCUGAGAUACGGCCCAGACUCCUACGGGAGACAGCAGUGGGGAAUAUUGCACAAUGGGCGGAAGCCUGAUGCAGCAACGCCGCGUGCGGGAUGACGGCCUUCGGGUUGUAAACCGCUUUCGCCUGUGACGAAGCGUGAGUGACGGUAAUGGGUAAAGAAGCACCGGCUAACUACGUG